AGUGAACGCUGGCGGUAGGCCUAACACAUGCAAGUCGAACGGCAGCACAGGAGAGCUUGCUCUCUGGGUGGCGAGUGGCGGACGGGUGAGGAAUACAUCGGAAUCUACUUUUUCGUGGGGGAUAACGUAGGGAAACUUACGCUAAUACCGCAUACGACCUACGGGUGAAAGCAGGGGAUCUUCGGACCUUGCGCGAUUGAAUGAGCCGAUGUCGGAUUAGCUAGUUGGCGGGGUAAAGGCCCACCAAGGCGAAGACCCGUAGCUGGUCUGAGAGAAUGGUCAGCCACACUGGAACUGAGAAACGGUCCAGACUCCUACGGGAGGAAGCAGUGGGGAAUAUUGGACAAUGGGCGCAAGCCUGAUCCAGCCAUACCGCGUGGGUGAAGAAGGCCUUCGGGUUGUAAAGCCCUUUUGUUGGGAAAGAAAUCCAGCUGGCUAAUACCCGGUUGGGAUGACGGUACCCAAAGAAUAAGCACCGGCUAACUUCGUGCCAGCAGCCGCGGUAA
rnacentral:rRNA from 1 species